rnacentral:rRNA from 1 species
UAGGGAAUCUUCGGCAAUGGACGAAAGUCUGACCGAGCAACGCCGCGUGAGUGAAGAAGGUUUUCGGAUCGUAAAACUCUGUUGUUAGAGAAGAACAAGGACGUUAGUAACUGAACGUCCCCUGACGGUAUCUAACCAGAAAGCCACGGCUAACUACGUGCCAGCAGCCGCGGUAAUACGUAGGUGGCAAGCGUUGUCCGGAUUUAUUGGGCGUAAAGCGAGCGGAGGCGGUUUCUUAAGGCUGAUGUGAAAGCCCCCGGCUCAACCGGGGAGGGUAAUUGGAAACUGGGAGACUUGAGUGCAGAAGAGGAGAGUGGAAUUCCAUGUGUAGCGGUGAAAGGCGUAGAUAUAUGGAGGAACACCAGUGGCGAAGGCGGCUCUCUGGUCUGUAACUGACGCUGUGGCUCGAAGGCGUGGGGAGCAAACAGG